CCCCUAGAUGUUCUGGGCCGCACGCGCGCUACACUGAACAGUUCAACAAGUCUUAACCUUGGCCGAUAGGUCUGGGUAAUCUUUGAACGCUGUUCGUGAUUGGGAUAGACCUUUGCAAUUAUGGGUCUUCAACGAGGAAUGCCUAGUAAGCGCGAAUCAUCAGUUCGCGUUGAUUACGUCCCUGCCCUUUGUACACACCGCCCGUCGCUCCUACCGAUUGAAUGGUCCGGUGAAAAUUUCGGAUAGUGGCGAUGCUGGCGGUUCGCCGCCGGCGCUGCCGCUAGAAGAUCUUUAAACCUUAUCAUUUAGAGGAAGGAGAAGUCGUAACA
rnacentral:rRNA from 1 species